rnacentral:lncRNA from 1 species
ACUAGGUGACCUUAAUACUUCUGGUUGGAGCGUCCUCGAAAGCAAAGCUGGCGAAGAGAGGCGGGCGGUGCUUUGUGUGUUGAAUCCUUCAAACCAUCCCAUGCAUCGGCUGGAAAUUGAGUUAGAGGAGGAUGUGAAUAUCACCUUCUCUGUUAAAGGCCAAAGCUCGAUUUAUUUGUCAGGAUAUUACAUCCUUACGAAUCCCAACACUUGCACUACUAAAAGAAAUUCAUUCGGAAAAUGAAAGUAUGAUCAAGAGGUCUCGGACAGGUAUAUCAUCUUUUUCAACCUAAUACGGGGGGGCAGAAAUUCAUUCGGCAUUUGUACUAGUUCAACCUAAUACGGGGGGCAGUGUUGAUGGUG